CUACCCCUCUUGAUUCUCUCCCUAUCUUCUUCUUCUUCGUCCAUUCCUUUCUUCUUCGUCUCAGUUCGAGAAUUUCCAGAGGCUCUGUGACUUCCACCGGCUACCAAAGCAACCCCAAAACUCCACUCACUCUUACAAGCCUUGGCCUAUGGUUAAAACCACAAAAGACAGAUUCUAAAGACCCAAUAAAUCCCAUUUCGACUCUCCACUCUUACAUGAUCGAAAACAAGGCUCCUCCAACCAAACAAACUACGGCCGGCCACCAUAUUUUGGUGACCACUCCACGCUCUGACUGCUAGCAGUGGCGACCUAUAAGGCCAUACCCUAAACUAGCCACCCUGAUUCCCUCUUUAUAACUCACUAAACAAAACCCUUAGCACUAAACAAACACCCUGAACAAACAAAAGCUUCGACCCCUCACUUCGAUAACAUCCCGAGACCGACGUGACUCCGACACUGCUUCAACCUCGGCAAAUACUCCAACUCAAGGCUAAAAGCCUGAACAGAGAAAAAAUUAAGUCAACAAGACUCCACUUGAAUUCAAACAACCCAGGUCUUGGUUGGCACAAGAUGGGUCAGCAUGGGCUCUCGUGGGUGGCCAACAUGUAGUUGCGGUGGGACGUGCACGAGCUGCUGCUCGGUUGGAGAGAUCCAUGUAGGAGGCAUUGAUGACUGUGGUAGAGUUGCUGC